GAUGAAGAACGUAGCGAAAUGCGAUACUUGGUGUGAAUUGCAGAAUCCCGUGAACCAUCGAGUCUUUGAACGCAAGUUGCGCCCGAAGCCAUUAGGCCGAGGGCACGCCUGCCUGGGUGUCACACGUCGUUGCCCCCCCAUCUACUCCUUCGGGAUUGCGGGGGGCGGAUGAUGGCCUCCCGUGCGCCUCGUCGCGCGGUUGGCAUAAAUGCCAAGUCCUCGGCGACGCACGCCACGACAAUCGGUGGUUGCGAAACCUCGGUUGCCCGUCGUGUGCGGUCGUCGCGCAUCGAGGGCUCGAAAAAAUUGCCGGGCUCCGGCUCGGCUUUCAACGCGACCCCAGGUCAGGCGGGGUUACCCGCUGAAUUUAAGCAUAUCAAUAAGCGGAGGGA
rnacentral:misc_RNA from 1 species